rnacentral:rRNA from 1 species
AUGCAUAGCCGAGUUGAGAGACUGAUCGGCCACAUUGGGACUGAGACACGGCCCAAACUCCUACGGGAGGCAGCAGUAGGGAAUCUUCCACAAUGGACGCAAGUCUGAUGGAGCAACGCCGCGUGAGUGAAGAAGGUUUUCGGUAUCGUAAAGCUCUGUUGUUGGUGAAGAAGGAUAGAGGUAGUAACUGGCCUUUAUUUUGUACGGUAAUACAACCAGAAAGUCACGGGCUAACUACGUGCCAGCAGCCGCGGUAAAU